AAAAAAAAGAAUUUUUCUUUAGAUUUAAGUCAUUUUUCGGAUUCCAUAUUCUGUUAAAGUAAAAAAUAAAUCAUGGGAACCUUGUCUAGUUAAGCCAAUGAAACUCAAAAUAUAAUUAAUAGGAAAAGAAUACUUAUGUUGGUUCUUACAUAGGUGAACAUGUUGUAAUUUGUAGACUUUCCAAGCAUCCACUUCAAAUAAUUACCAACUUGUUACAACAGAAGUUCUGAAUUAACAUCCAAUUCAAUAUGUGAAUGGUCAUUGCUCUGCAAUUACCAUACACAUUUGAGCAAUAAAUUGAUAUCUGAAAACAUUGAACGCAUGUAUAUAAUGCUGAUCGCCUGAAUGGGCUUAGAUACAGCUCAAACAAAUUUUUGGUAUGCAUGGUCAGCUGUCAUGGCAUGAUUUUGCCAAUGGAACAUUUUAUGCAUCUUCACUUAUAGCUUUUAUCUUGCUUCCCUUCCAACCCCCAAUCUUUUGUAUCAUAU
rnacentral:misc_RNA from 1 species